UGUACCUCACCCUGUCCCCCUCGGCGUAGGACUCCUUCAGGGGCUUGGUAGGUUCUGCAAAGGCAAACCUCGGCGGCGGUGGGCAGUCACCUGCGGGCAGGGGAGAGGAUGAUGAAGGAGCCGGGGGGGAGGAUGAUAAAGGGAAGGGGGGGGCAAAUCAUAGAAUCAUUCAGGUUGGAAAAGACCCUUGGGGUCAUCGAGUCCAACCAUCUACCCUACUGUACAAAGUUCUCCCCUACACCAUGUCCCCCAACACCACAUCUGAACGAUUCUUAAACACAUCCAGGGAUGGGGACUCAACCACCUCCCUGGGCAGCCUGUGCCAGUCUCUGACCACUCUUGCUGUCAAGAAUUUUUUCCUAAUGUCCAGUCUAAACCGGCAGUGCCAGCAGCACCCCGCAGAGCCACCGCAGCCGCCCCAUGGCCAGACCCGCUCCCGGUUCCGCGGACGGGCGCGCAGAGGUGCGGAUCGCGGCGCUCGGCCCCUUCCGGCGCUGGGGGGGGUGUGUUCCCGGAUUUAUGUCACCGACGUGGGCAGGCUGGGUUAUUUUCCUUCCGGCUGUUUUGUAGGAAACGCGACCGGGACCCCCGUGGCCCUUCCCACGGCGUUUCUCCUCGGGGCGGUGGGAAACGCUGCCCCCAAAACCGGGGAACGGCCAGAACCGGGUCUGCCCCUUAUUUCCCCACCGACACCGACGGGGUUCACCCGAGAAAUGAGUCACGCGGGACCCAACCUGCGUGAUUUAUCCGUGGGAGUGUCUCCCCGGCUCAGGGAUCCUGUCGAAGGUUGGUCCGUCCCCAUCGCCCUGCCCCACGGUCAAGGCCAUCUCCCGUGAAAAGGAGCACUUUGUCCUCCUGCCACACCUGGGUGGCACCGUGCCCUUGUCAUCUUCUCCUCAUCACCCUCUGCGUCAGCUCGGUGAGGUUUGGGGCACGUCCCCGUGGGGGGUACCCGGGCACCCCAGGAACAGCCUCUGGCUCAAAGGAUUGACCAAAGGAUGGCAGCCAGGGCACGGGGCAGCUCAGAUGUUCAGAUGGGCAUUGCCUCCUCUUCCUCAGAGCGUUACCAGGAUCACACCCAGCAGGACGAGCCCACGGAAACGUGCUGUGUCCUGCUUCAACAACAAACACAACAGCAGAGUCAGGGAACUGCGGGGCACCUUUGUGUCCUACCUGUAGCACUGCCCUUCUCCUGCCAGAACACCAACAAAACUCCAUCUCUCGGCAAACCCCCGUAACCCAGAAAGGCAAUUUUUACACCUUCUGUAUUAUCGCUGGUCAUUUUGUCCCCAUGGAGUACGAGCCAGCAAACACUAAGUAGGGAGCAAUUGGUUUAAUCCUUGGAUUUGGGGUGGAGAAUAGACCCGGUGCAGGAAUAGUUGGGGUUGGCCAAGGGAAGGAAGGUUCUACCUGGAGAGGAGCACCCACCUUCCCCAGUACUGCCCGGGCUGGAAAUGGGCUCUGCUCCAGCAGUGACACUUCGCCUCCGUCAUCGCAGUUCCCAGGAAAGGCCAGGGAUGCAGCUACAGCAGCAAUUAUCUGACCCAGCAGCAAUUACCUGAGCAGCAAAUUACAUCCGGCAAAGAAUGAGACUGCAAAAUCAUCUAAAGUGCUCUGUGAGAAGGUUUGAUUAGUAAAUAUGAAAAAAACCCGACAAAAAACAACCCCAAGACAGGAUACUAGUGUUGCUGAUUUGAUAUUCCUUUUAUUUACAAAACAGUUUUGCUGUAAAUAUUGUCAUUUUCACACUUAUAUCUGCACACUAGGAAAUGGACCUCAGUAGAAAAGUAGUUUAAAAAAAAUACAAGUAAAUCUUGCAAGAGUGUGCACAAUCAG
rnacentral:lncRNA from 1 species